rnacentral:rRNA from 1 species
GCAUAUCAAUAAGCGGAGGAAAAGAAACCAACAGGGAUUGCCUCAGUAACGGCGAGUGAAGCGGCAACAGCUCAAAUUUGAAAUCUGGCCUCCCGGGGUCCGAGUUGUAAUUUGUAGAGGAUGUUUUGGGUACCGCCCCGGUUUAAAUUUCUUGGAACAGAAUGUCAGAGAGGGUGAGAAUCCCGUCUUGGACCGGUGGUAGGGCCUGUGUAAAACUCCUUCGACGAGUCGAGUUGUUUGGGAAUGCAGCUCAAAAUGGGUGGUAAAUUUCAUCUAAAGCUAAAUAUUGGCCAGAGACCGAUAGCGCACAAGUAGAGUGAUCGAAAGAUGAAAAGAACUUUGAAAAGAGAGUUAAACAGUAUGUGAAAUUGUUGAAAGGGAAGCGCUUGCAACCAGACUUGAGCGCGACGGUUCCCCUAGCCUUUUGGCUAGGUUACUCCGUCGUGUCCAGGCCAACAUCGGUUCUGAGGGUCGGUCAAAGGCUCUGGGAAUGUAUCUACCCACGGGUAGACUUAUAGACCAGGGUGUCAUGCGACCUCUCGGGACCGAGGAACGCGCUUCGGCUCGGAUGUUGGCGUAAUGGUUGUCAGCGACCCGUCUUGAAACACGGACC